UACAUAGGUCUCAAGCGUUGUUCGGAAUUACUGGGCGUAAAGGGUGCGCAGGCCGCGCGGGCAGUCAAAUGUGUAAUCCAGGGGCUCAACCCCUGAACUGCGCUUGAUACUUCCGCGCUCGAGCUUUGGAGAGGAGUCUGGAAUUCUCGGUGUAGCAGUGAAAUGCGUGGAUAUCGAGAAGAACACUUAGGGCGUAGGCAAGACUCUGGACAAAUGCUGACGCUCAUGCACGAAGGCUAGGGUAGCGAACGGG
rnacentral:rRNA from 1 species